AUUGAACGCUGGCGGCAUGCCUUACACAUGCAAGUCGAACGGUAACAGGUCUUCGGAUGCUGACGAGUGGCGAACGGGUGAGUAAUACAUCGGAACGUGCCCAGACGUGGGGGAUAACGAGGCGAAAGCUUUGCUAAUACCGCAUACGAUCUAAGGAUGGAAGCAGGGGACCGCAAGGCCUUGCGCGUUUGGAGCGGCCGAUGGCAGAUUAGGUAGUUGGUGGGAUAAAAGCUUACCAAGCCGACGAUCUGUAGCUGGUCUGAGAGGACGACCAGCCACACUGGGACUGAGACACGGCCCAGACUCCUACGGGAGGCAGCAGUGGGGAAUUUUGGACAAUGGGCGAAAGCCUGAUCCAGCAAUGCCGCGUGCAGGAUGAAGGCCUUCGGGUUGUAAACUGCUUUUGUACGGAACGAAAAGGCUCUGGCUAAUACCUGGGGCACAUGACGGUACCGUAAGAAUAAGCACCGGCUAACUACGUG
rnacentral:rRNA from 1 species